rnacentral:rRNA from 1 species
GUAGGGAAUAUUAGAAAUGGACGAAAGUCUGAUCUAGCAACACCGCGUGUGCGAAGAAGGCCUUCGGGUCGUAAAGCACUUUUUGGAAGGAAUAGGAAGGAAUGUACUUCCAGAAUAAGUCUCGGCUAACUACGUGCCAGCAGCCGCGGUAACACGUAGGAGGCGAACGUUAUCCGGAUUUACUGGGCGUAAAGCGCGUGUAGGUGGUUCUGUAAGUAGGGCGUGAAAGCUCCCGGCUCAACUGGGAGAGGCCGUUCUAAACUGCAGAGCUAGAGGAUGGUAGAGGGAGGUGGAAUUCCAGGUGUAGCGGUGGAAUGCGCAGAUAUCUGGAGGAACACCAGUGGCGAAGGCGGCCUCCUGGACCAUUCCUGACACUCAGACGCGAAAGCUAGGGUAGCAAACGGGAUUAGAAACCCGAGUAGUCC